rnacentral:rRNA from 1 species
CAUGCAAGUCGAGGGGCAGCAUUUCAGUUUGCUUGCAAACUGGAGAUGGCGACCGGCGCACGGGUGAGUAACACGUAUCCAACCUGCCGAUAACUCGGGGAUAGCCUUUCGAAAGAAAGAUUAAUACCCGAUGGUAUAAUCAGACCGCAUGGUCUUGUUAUUAAAGAAUUUCGGUUAUCGAUGGGGAUGCGUUCCAUUAGGCAGUUGGUGAGGUAACGGCUCACCAAACCUUCGAUGGAUAGGGGUUCUGAGAGGAAGGUCCCCCACAUUGGAACUGAGACACGGUCCAAACUCCUACGGGAGGCAGCAGUGAGGAAUAUUGGUCAAUGGGCGCAGGCCUGAACCAGCCAAGUAGCGUGAAGGAUGACUGCCCUAUGGGUUGUAAACUUCUUUUAUAUGGGAAUAAAGUUUUCCACGUGUGGAAUUUUGUAUGUACCAUAUGAAUAAGGAUCGGCUAACUUCCGUGCCAGCAGCCGCGGUAAUACGGAGGAUCCGAGCGUUAUCCCGGAUUUAUUGGGUUUAAAAGGGAGCGUAGGUGGAACAGUUAAGUCAGUUGUGAAAGUUUUGCGGCUCAACCGUAAAAUUGCAGUUGAUACUGGCUGUCUUGAGUACAGUAGAGGUGGGCGGAAUUCGUGGUGUAGCGGUGAAAUGCUUAGAUAUCACGAAGAACUCCGAUUGCGAAGGCAGCUCACUGGACUGCAACUGACACUGAUGCUCGAAAGUGUGGGUAUCAAACAGGAUUAGAUACCCUGGUAGUCCACACAGUAAACGAUGAAUACUCGCUGUUUGCGAUAUACAGUUAAGCGGCCAAGCGAAAAGCAUUAAGUAUUCCACCUGGGGAGUACGCCGGCAACGGUGAAACUCAAAGGAAUUGACGGGGGCCCGCACAAGCGGAGGAACAUGUGGUUUAAUUCGAUGAUACGCGAGGAACCUUACCCGGGCUUAAAUUGCAUUUGAAUAUAUUGGAAACAGUAUAGCCGUAAGGCAAAUGUGAAGGUGCUGCAUGGUUGUCGUCAGCUCGUGCCGUGAGGUGUCGGCUUAAGUGCCAUAACGAGCGCAACCCUUAUCUUUAGUUACUAACAGGUCAUGCUGAGGACUCUAGAGAGACUGCCGUCGUAAGAUGUGAGGAAGGUGGGGAUGACGUCAAAUCAGCACGGCCCUUACGUCCGGGGCUACACACGUGUUACAAUGGGGGGUACAGAAGGCAGCUACCUGGUGACAGGAUGCUAAUCCCAAAAGCCUCUCUCAGUUCGGAUCGAAGUCUGCAACCCGACUUCGUGAAGCUGGAUUCGCUAGUAAUCGCGCAUCAGCCAUGGCGCGGUGAAUACGUUCCCGGGCCUUGUACACACCGCCCGUCAAGCCAUGAAAGCCGGGGGUACCUGAAGUACGAACCGCAAGGAGCUCCUAGG